GACGAACGCUGGCGGCGUGCUUAACACAUGCAAGUCGAACGAAGUGGCGAACGGGUGAGUAACGCGUAAUCAACCUGCCCUUCAGAGGGGGACAACAGUUGGAACCGACUGCUAAUCCCGCAUACUGAAGGCGGGGAUUGCGUCAGAAUAGCUAGUUGGCGGGGUAACGGCCCACCAAGGCGAUGAUCAGUAGCCGGGUUGGGAGGAUGGACGGCCACAAUUGGACUGGGACAAGGCCCAGACUCCUACGGGAGGCAGCAGUGGGGAAAUUUCGGCAAAGGAGGGAAGGCUGACGGAGCAAAGACGCGGGAGUGAUGACGGGCUUUGGGGUGGAAAGCUCUGUUAAUCGGGACGCGGUACCGGAAGAGAAAGCCACGGCUAACUCCGUGCCAGCAGCCGCGGUAAUUC
rnacentral:rRNA from 1 species